rnacentral:rRNA from 1 species
AGGGGGAUAACUACUGGAAACGGUAGCUAAUACCGGAUAACGUCGCAAGACCAAAGUGGGGGACCUUCGGGCCUCACACCAUCGGAUGUGCCCAGAUGGGAUUAGCUAGUAGGUGGGGUAACGGCUCACCUAGGCGACGAUCCCUAGCUGGUCUGAGAGGAUGACCAGCCACACUGGAACUGAGACACGGUCCAGACUCCUACGGGAGGCAGCAGUGGGGAAUAUUGCACAAUGGGCGCAAGCCUGAUGCAGCCAUGCCGCGUGUAUGAAGAAGGCCUUCGGGUUGUAAAGUACUUUCAGCGGGGAGGAAGGCGGAAGGUUAAUAACCUUGCCGAUUGACGUUACCCGCAGAAGAAGCACCGGCUAACUCCGUGCCAGCAGCCGCGGUAAUACGGAGGGUGCAAGCGUUAAUCGGAAUUACUGGGCGUAAAGGCACGCAGGCGGUCUGUUAAGUCAGAUGUGAAAUCCCCGGGCUUAACCUGGGAACUGCAUUUGAAACUGGCAGGCUUGAGUCUCGUAGAGGGGGGUAGAAUUCCAGGUGUAGCGGUGAAAUGCGUAGAGAUCUGGAGGAAUACCGGUGGCGAAGGCGGCCCCCUGGACGAAGACUGACGCUCAGGUGCGAAAGCGUGGGGAGCAAG